rfam:Heligmosomoides polygyrus genome assembly, scaffold: HPBE_scaffold0017087
GUUCAUUCCUGAACAUAUACUAAAAUUGGAACAAUACAGAGUAGAUUAGCAUGGCCCCUGCGCAAGGAUGACACGCAAAUUCG